rnacentral:tRNA from 1 species
GGAGAGGUGCCUGAGUGGCUGAAAGGAGCCGCCUGCUAAGCGGUUAUCCUGCGAAAGCGGGAUCCAGGGUUCAAAUCCCUGCCUCUCCGCCA